CCUACGGGUGGCAGCAGUGAGGAAUAUUGGUCAAUGGACGAGAGUCUGAACCAGCCAAGUAGCGUGAAGGAUGACUGCCCUAUGGGUUGUAAACUUCUUUUAUAUGGGAAUAAAAUGUUCCACGUGUGGGAUUUUGUAUGUACCAUAUGAAUAAGGAUCGGCUAACUCCGUGCCAGCAGCCGCGGUAAUACGGAGGAUCCGAGCGUUAUCCGGAUUUAUUGGGUUUAAAGGGAGCGUAGGUGGAUGGUUAAGUCAGUUGUGAAAGUUUGCGGCUCAACCGUAAAAUUGCAGUUGAAACUGGCAGUCUUGAGUGCAGUAGAGGUAGGCGGAAUUCGUGGUGUAGCGGUGAAAUGCUUAGAUAUCACGAAGAACUCCGAUUGCGAAGGCAGUUCACUGGACUGCAACUGACGCUGAGGCUCGAAAGUGUGGGUAUCAAACAGGAUUAGAUACCCGAGUAGUC
rnacentral:rRNA from 1 species